rnacentral:rRNA from 1 species
UACAGAGGUCUCAAGCGUUGUUCGGAUUCAUUGGGCGUAAAGGGUGCGUAGGCGGAUUGUUAAGUCAGGGGUGAAAUCCUGGAGCUCAACUCCAGAACUGCCUUUGAUACUGGCAAUCUCGAGUCCGGAAGAGGUAAGUGGAACUCCUAGUGUAGAGGUGGAAUUCGUAGAUAUUAGGAAGAACACCAGUGGCGAAGGCGGCUUACUGGUCCGGAACUGACGCUGAGGUGCGAAAGCGUGGGGAGCGAACAGG